CACCACUGCAGCUGUCAUGGCGGCUUGGCGGUUAAGUUUGUGUGCUCGCAGCCUUUCCGCAAUUCGACAGCUCCAGGCUGCCCCACUUUGCUGGAAAUCCAGCUCCUCCAGGGCUGUGGUUGCUCGGUCCCCUGCGGCUCGAAAGGAGCAGGAAGAACCGACCGUGCAGUGGAUGGAGGACCCAGAUCCCGAGGACGAAAACGUGUACUUGAAGAACCCAGACUUCCAUGGUUACGACGACGACCCGAAGGUGGAUGCCUUGAAUAUGCACGCCGUCUUCUUCUUUGGUGUUUCCAUCGCCCUGGUCCUUGGCACUACCUUUGUGGCUUAUGUGCCCAACUAUAAGAUGAUCGAGUGGGCCCGCCGGGAAGCUGCGAUGCUGGUGAAACACCGAGAGGCCAGUGGCCUCCCCAUCAUGGAGUCCAACUAUUUUGACCCCACCAAGAUCAACCUGCAGGAGGACGACUGAGUGGGGCUUAAGCAGCGCUACCCUGCCCGUUUUCCUGCUCACUUCCCAGAGAAUCUACCCAAGGGAUUGAAAAAAGAAAAGAGUGUUACUCCAGCUAGGCCUGUCAGUUAUUUGGCCAAGGGACCACACCUCCGAACACUGAUUGACCUAAAAUAUGCUAAAGAGAUGGGAGGAACAAUUAUCUCCUUAAUGAGAGAAUGUAUUUUCCUUGGCCGAAACUCUGUCUUGGCUCUAGUCACUUGUGGAGCUCACUUCCUGGAGUCCUAAGUUCCAAAACACAUCUGUUUCUUUUCCCCAUCUUUUGAAUACUUGCCAGUGUCUGGGCUCCCCACCCCCCUCCCCGCCCCCGUCCUAUUGAUGUACUGGGCUCUCUUGCUUUAUUUGUAUCCCCCUCUUCUGCUUCUGCCAUGGGGCUGCUUGGGAGCCUCCAUUACUAAACUUCAUAUCUAACCCAAGAAGGCGUGGCUUUCUCCGUAUUUCUUCUGGAAUUGGCCUGGAUUUUCAGGUUGCCUGCCCCGCGAUGUUUCUUUUAAACUCUAAUAAAAUGGUUCUUAGGCCUC